UUUCCGUAGGUGAACCUGCGGAAGGAUCAUUACUGCUUGCUCAUGGCCGCCUAGAGGGGAAACCCCCUGGGCGGUACGGCAACACCCACCCUUGACUAUAUAUACCUUUCGUUAUUUCCCUCGGCGGGGCAACCCGCCGCUGGGGACAUCAAAACCCUCUUGUAUCAAGCAUUAAAACUUCUGAAACAAACCUCAAAUAUAACAACUUUCAACAAUGGAUCUCUUGGUUCUGGCAUCGAUGAAGAACGCAGC
rnacentral:misc_RNA from 1 species